AUUAAACGCUGGCGGCAUGCCUUACACAUGCAAGUCGAACGGCAGCACUGGGGCAACCCUGGUGGCGAGUGGCGAACGGGUGAGUAAAGCAUCGGAACGUGCCCUGGAGUGGGGGGAUAACGUAGCGAAAGUUACGCUAAUACCGCAUAUUCUGUGAGCAGGAAAGCAGGGGAUCGCAAGACCUUGCGCUCUGGGAGCGGCCGAUGUCGGAUUAGCUAGUUGGUGGGGUAAAGGCCUACCAAGGCGACGAUCCGUAGCGGGUCUGAGAGGAUGAUCCGCCACACUGGGACUGAGACACGGCCCAGACUCCUACGGGAGGCAGCAGUGGGGAAUUUUGGACAAUGGGCGAAAGCCUGAUCCAGCCAUGCCGCGUGAGUGAAGAAGGCC
rnacentral:rRNA from 1 species